rnacentral:rRNA from 1 species
CCUACGGGGGGCAGCAGUGAGGAAUAUUGGUCAAUGGACGAGAGUCUGAACCAGCCAAGUAGCGUGAAGGAUGACUGCCCUAUGGGUUGUAAACUUCUUUUAUAUGGGAAUAAAAUGUUCCACGUGUGGGAUUUUGUAUGUACCAUAUGAAUAAGGAUCGGCUAACUCCGUGCCAGCAGCCGCGGUAAUACGGAGGAUCCGAGCGUUAUCCGGAUUGAUUGGGUUUAAAGGGAGCGUAGGUGGAUUGUUAAGUCAGUUGUGAAAGUUUGCGGCUCAACCGUAAAAUUGCAGUUGAAACUGGCAGUCUUGAGGACAGUAGAGGUGGGCGGAAUUCGUGGUGUAGCGGUGAAAUGCUUAGAUAUCACGAAGAACUCCGAUUGCGAAGGCAGCUCACUGGACUGCAACUGACACUGAGGCUCGAAAGUGUGGGUAUCAAACAGGAUUAGAUACCCUGGUAGUC